GAUGAAGAACGCAGUGAAAUGCGAUAAGUAAUGUGAAUUGCAGAAUUCAGUGAAUCAUCGAAUCUUUGAACGCACAUUGCGCCCCUUGGUAUUCCGAGGGGCAUGCCUGUUCGAGCGUCAUUAUAACCCCUCAAGCUCAGCUUGGUGUUGGGGCCUGCCGCACGGGCAGCCCUUAAAAUCAGUGGCGGUGCUAUCUGGCUCUAAGCGUAGUAAUUCUUCUCGCUAUAGAGUCCCGGUGGAUGCUUGCCAUUAACCCCCAAUUUUCUAUGGUUGACCUCGGAUCAGGUAGGGAUACCCGCUGAACUUAAGCAUAUCAAUAGCGGAGGA
rnacentral:misc_RNA from 1 species